rnacentral:rRNA from 1 species
CCUACGGGCGGCAGCAGUGGGGGAUAUUGCACAAUGGGGGGAACCCUGAUGCAGCGACGCCGCGUGGGUGAAGGAGUGCUUCGGCAUGUAAAGCCCUAUCGGCAGGGAAGAAGCAAGACGGUACCUGACUAAGAAGCCCCGGCUAACUACGUGCCAGCAGCCGCGGUAAUACGUAGGGGGCGAGCGUUAUCCGGAUUCACUGGGUGUAAAGGGAGCGUAGACGGCCAUGCAAGCCAGGGGUGAAAGCCCGGGGCCCAACCCCGGGACUGCCCUUGGAACUGUGCGGCUAGAGUGCGGGAGGGGCAGGCGGAAUUCCUGGUGUAGCGGGGAAAUGCGUAGAUAUCAGGAGGAACACCGGCGGCGAAGGCGGCCUGCUGGACUGCGACUGACGUUGAGGCUCGAAAGCGUGGGGAGCGAACAGGAUUAGAUACCCCUGUAGUC